AGCUGCAGUACACAAGGACUCACAUUCUCCUUUUCUGCUUGAGUCUACGGAAAUAUAUGCCUGCAUCCUCUCACUCUCCAGGAUUUUGUUAAACAACCUGGUUAAAAAGUCCACUGCCUGCUCUCCUAAGCAUCUCCAAACCUCCACAGGCUGGAGUGUGGAGCAUGAUUGUGAAGAUGCAGUCCUCUGAUGAUGAAGACAUUCUGUAGCACAAGUUCCACCAUGCUGAGCAGUGAAUAGGACAGGUCCAGGUUACUCACAAUAUCGCUGGAGCCUAAGGCCAG